UACGGAGGGGGCAAGCGUUGUUCGGAAUUACUGGGCGUAAAGGGCGCGCAGGCGGCUGCUCAAGUCAGGCGUGAAAGGCCUGGGCUCAACCCGGGAAUUGCGCUUGAGACUGGGCUGGCUUGAGUGCGGGAGAGGAUGGUGGAAUUCCCAGUGUAGAGGUGAAAUUCGUAGAUAUUGGGAAGAACACCGGUGGCGAAGGCGGCUCACUGGUCCGGUACUGACGCUGAGGUGCGAAAGCGUGGGGAGCAAACAGGG
rnacentral:rRNA from 1 species